AAGGCCAUGGUUCAAUGUGAAAAGCAUCUGCUUUGCAUGCAGAAGGCCUCUGGUUCAAUCUCCAGGAACGCUGGAAAGGCCUUU